CAGGUAUGUCGCCGGGCAGGCUGCUAAUGCAUUCCUUCACACACACAACUCAUCAGCAAUCAGACACUCUGGAGUUUCAGGGCUCAAAUCUUUGUGAAUGACAGGAUUGUUCCUCACCUCAUCAUUCUUUCAUCGACACUCUCACACAAUAGGGCUGGUUACUUAAUACACUCAGGCAGCCACAGCACACAUCAUGUUCAGUUCAGAUUGCAGUAAAUGGGAAUUUUCCUCCAGGUUUACCGGUGUCCCCCACCGACACUGGGAAAACAUGCAAACUCCACAUGCAAAGGCUCGGUCCCAGCCAGGAUUGGAUCCCAGGACCUUCUUGCUGUGCGGCAACAGUGCUAACCAUGAGGGCUUUGGAGGGGGUGUGACAUGCAACAAAGGGCCAUGAGUUGGAAUUGAACCUGGGCUGUGAGGACUGAGCUCUGAUAAAUAGCUACCAGGGUGCCUCAAGCAGUUUGUUUUUACACCAUACAAAAAGGAGAAACUAAGAACUACUGACCUGAGC